UGAGUAAUGUCUGGGAAACUGCCCGAUGGAGGGGGAUAACUACUGGAAACGGUAGCUAAUACCGCAUAACGUCUUCGGACCAAAGUGGGGGACCUUCGGGCCUCACACCAUCGGAUGUGCCCAGAUGGGAUUAGCUAGUAGGUGGGGUAAUGGCUCACCUAGGCGACGAUCCCUAGCUGGUCUGAGAGGAUGGCCAGCCACACUGGAACUGAGACACGGUCCAGACUCCUACGGGAGGCAGCAGUGGGGAAUAUUGCACAAUGGGCGCAAGCCUGAUGCAGCCAUGCCGCGUGUAUGAAGAAGGCCUUCGGGUUGUAAAGUACUUUCAGCGGGGAGGAAGGCGGUGAGGUUAAUAACCUUGCCGAUUGACGUUACCCGCAGAAGAAGCACCGGCUAACUCCGUGCCAGCAGCCGCGGUAAUACGGAGGGUGCAAGCGUUAAUCGGAAUUACUGGGCGUAAAGCGCACGCAGGCGGUCGGUCAAGUCGGAUGUGAAAUCCCCGGG
rnacentral:rRNA from 1 species